rnacentral:lncRNA from 1 species
CAUGAAACAAAAUUGCCCUUCAUCUCAAACAAUCAACAUCUAUACAUGCAAAUGCCAUCAAAAGGACUUUUCCAAGGCUUGUAAUGAGGUUGGGCUAACAAGAAAGAAUGGGUUUUUCCAGAAUGCAAAAUCCUUGAGUCAAGAGAGCUAUUAAAAUAUUCAACAUUUAAGCACAACUCUCCUCCUCACCAAUCUGUCUCAUUCCCAACUUUUCCCUUUUCUUUUUCUUUUGCAUUGAGCUCUUCUUCAUGCUUUUCUUCUUUUCUUUUCUUUCUCUCAUGAAUUUUUCUUUUCACAACAUUUGAGCUCAAUGCUUUUCACUUGCUUUUUCAACUUUCCCCCAACAACCCCAAAAUUGAACCUUUUUAUCUCAUACAAUUAAGCUCAUCCCAACUCAAGGUAAAGAGUUUCAAAACAAGGGUUCAUAUCCUGCUUAAGGCUAAGGUUCAAAAAGGGUAUCA